GGGUUGUGAGGUUAAGCGACUAAGCGUACACGGUGGAUGCCCUGGCAGUCAGAGGCGAUGAAGGACGUGCUAAUCUGCGAUAAGCGUCGGUAAGGUGAUAUGAACCGUUAUAACCGGCGAUUUCCGAAUGGGGAAACCCAGUGUGUUUCGACACACUAUCAUUAACUGAAUCCAUAGGUUAAUGAGGCGAACCGGGGGAACUGAAACAUCUAAGUACCCCGAGGAAAAGAAAUCAACCGAGAUUCCCCCAGUAGCGGCGAGCGAACGGGGAGCAGCCCAGAGCCUGAAUCAGUGUGUGUGUUAGUGGAAGCGUCUGGAAAGGCGCGCGAUACAGGGUGACAGCCCCGUACACAAAAAUGCACAUGCUGUGAGCUCGAUGAGUAGGGCGGGACACGUGGUAUCCUGUCUGAAUAUGGGGGGACCAUCCUCCAAGGCUAAAUACUCCUGACUGACCGAUAGUGAACCAGUACCGUGAGGGAAAGGCGAAAAGAACCCCGGCGAGGGGAGUGAAAAAGAACCUGAAACCGUGUACGUACAAGCAGUGGGAGCCUCUUUUAUGGGGUGACUGCGUACCUUUUGUAUAAUGGGUCAGCGACUUAUAUUCUGUAGCAAGGUUAACCGAAUAGGGGAGCCGAAGGGAAACCGAGUCUUAACUGGGCGUUAAGUUGCAGGGUAUAGACCCGAAACCCGGUGAUCUAGCCAUGGGCAGGUUGAAGGUUGGGUAACACUAACUGGAGGACCGAACCGACUAAUGUUGAAAAAUUAGCGGAUGACUUGUGGCUGGGGGUGAAAGGCCAAUCAAACCGGGAGAUAGCUGGUUCUCCCCGAAAGCUAUUUAGGUAGCGCCUCGUGAAUUCAUCUCCGGGGGUAGAGCACUGUUUCGGCAAGGGGGUCAUCCCGACUUACCAACCCGAUGCAAACUGCGAAUACCGGAGAAUGUUAUCACGGGAGACACACGGCGGGUGCUAACGUCCGUCGUGAAGAGGGAAACAACCCAGACCGCCAGCUAAGGUCCCAAAGUCAUGGUUAAGUGGGAAACGAUGUGGGAAGGCCCAGACAGCCAGGAUGUUGGCUUAGAAGCAGCCAUCAUUUAAAGAAAGCGUAAUAGCUCACUGGUCGAGUCGGCCUGCGCGGAAGAUGUAACGGGGCUAAACCAUGCACCGAAGCUGCGGCAGCGACGCUUAUGCGUUGUUGGGUAGGGGAGCGUUCUGUAAGCCUGCGAAGGUGUACUGUGAGGUAUGCUGGAGGUAUCAGAAGUGCGAAUGCUGACAUAAGUAACGAUAAAGCGGGUGAAAAGCCCGCUCGCCGGAAGACCAAGGGUUCCUGUCCAACGUUAAUCGGGGCAGGGUGAGUCGACCCCUAAGGCGAGGCCGAAAGGCGUAGUCGAUGGGAAACAGGUUAAUAUUCCUGUACUUGGUGUUACUGCGAAGGGGGGACGGAGAAGGCUAUGUUGGCCGGGCGACGGUUGUCCCGGUUUAAGCGUGUAGGCUGGUUUUCCAGGCAAAUCCGGAAAAUCAAGGCUGAGGCGUGAUGACGAGGCACUACGGUGCUGAAGCAACAAAUGCCCUGCUUCCAGGAAAAGCCUCUAAGCAUCAGGUAACAUCAAAUCGUACCCCAAACCGACACAGGUGGUCAGGUAGAGAAUACCAAGGCGCUUGAGAGAACUCGGGUGAAGGAACUAGGCAAAAUGGUGCCGUAACUUCGGGAGAAGGCACGCUGAUAUGUAGGUGAAGCGACUUGCUCGUGGAGCUGAAAUCAGUCGAAGAUACCAGCUG
rnacentral:rRNA from 1 species